GGUAGGCAGUCAGAACCAAAGAUCGUAGAGGGACAAGAUAGACCACUCCUCGAAAAACGCGUAGUAUGACGUGUGUGACCGUCGACGCCAUAUUGUUAAGCAUUUAUUGGGCUGUAAUGGCGUCCUCAGCUAAAUCUACAUCUCACUGCUCCGCUAUCAACUGUUCUAAUCGUAAAUCUAAACGACCAGAGCUGUCAUUCUUUAGGUUCCCCAAUAAAAAAGAAAGAUGUCAACAGUGGGUCCAGAAUACUCAUCGACAAGAUCUCCUGCACCGAACUGCAGAGUAUUUGUCAAAUAAACUGCCGUCUUAUGUACAUUGUGUGAAAUUGUGAUUUGUUAACUGCACAAAACUAAUGCAAAUGGCGAUACAUGCCUGCAUUUGGCCCAUACCCCUCUAAACCUGUCCUAACCAUCAAAUAACCUAACAGAACUGUCAUGAGGAAAGAUUUAAAAGACUAGGCUUGUAUUCACUGGAGUUUAGAAGGAUGAGGGGGGAUCUUAUCAUAUUGUUUACAGUGUACUAUGUUUACAGAUUCUGUUGUGCUGCUGAAAGUAAGAAUUUAAUUGUUCUAUCUGGGACAAGCUAGAUGCAGGAAAAUUGUUCUACAUGACAAUAAAACCCUCUUGUUAGAUGCAAGGGGAUCUUAUAGAAACAUCUAAAUGAAUAAAAGGACUGAACAAGCUAGAUACAGGAAAAAUGUUCCCAAUGUUGGGCGAGUCCAGAACCAGGGGCCACAGUCUUAGAACAAAGGGGAGGCCAUUUAAGACUGAGGUGAGAAAAAACUUUUUCACCCAGAGAGUUGUGAAUUUGUGGAAUUCCCUGCCACAGAGGGCAGUGGAGGCCAAAUCACUGGGUGGAUUUAAGAGAGAGUUAGAUAGACCUCUAGGGGCUAGUGGAAUCAAGGGGUAUGGGGAUAAAGGCAUGGGUUAUCGAUUGGGGCUGAUCAGCCAUGAUCACAAUGAAUGGCGGUGUUGGGUCGAAGUGCCAAAUGGCCUCCUCCUGCACCUAUUUUCUAUAUUUCUAAAACACUCAUCCAGCAAUCCUCGAGCCCACCAGCUCAUCCCGUAGUCAAUUCAUCAGCUUUUCCAUAAGAACUUCCAUCAGUUCUUGCAAAAGAAUGACAAUCAGCCAAUCUCGAUUACCCUCAGCCCAUCAAGCAGUCCCUUAAUUCGCACAGAAGUCUGAACUAUUGAAUGCUCACUGCAUCUCUUUCCAUGUCAGCAAGUUAAUAUCCAGCUGCAUAUGAACCAUGUGAAAAAUGAAUAAAUAGAUGCAUGUGGUGCAGUGAUUUGUGCAGCACUAUAGGCCUGGAGACCAAGAGGAGUUCACCAUUGAACGGAGUUUGAACGGGGGGCUUGAGGCCCCCGACCGAGGAAGAACAAAGGGACUUGAACUUUAUUUCGCCUUCCAUCACAGUGAGGAAUGUGUAGGAGUCACUUUGGUGAAUGUCCGUAUUAAAAUGUGUUUUUGAGUGCUGUUGCUUUUAAUUGUAUGACUGACCUGGCCAAUGAAAUUCCUCGUAUAUUGCAAAACAUACUUGGAAAAUAAAAUCUGAUUAUGAUUCUGAAAA